CAAGAUACAGAAGGUAUUCUUUUAAUUUUGUAUAACAUUAAUUAAUUAAAGAGAUAAAAAGAGAUGAUACGUCAAUAAUACUGAGAUAUUUAGCUUAUUAUUUUAUUAAGAAAUUACAUUAAGAUAACUUUGUAUAUCUUUAGGCGACGAAGAAGUUUCUGCAUUUUUUCGAAAUGUUCAAGAGAUCAGAGCCGAAGAGCUCUUGCCAACGGAAGUAAAGGACAAGCUAAGUGAGG